rnacentral:rRNA from 1 species
CGACCAGACUCCUACGGGAGGCAGCAGUGGGGGAUAUUGCACAAUGGGGGAAACCCUGAUGCAGCGACGCCGCGUGGGUGAAGAAGCGCCUCGGCGCGUAAAUCCCUGUCAGGAGGGAAGAAAAUGACGGUACCUGAAGAAGAAGCUCCGGCUAAAUACGUGCCAGCAGCCGCGGUAAUACGUAUGGAGCAAGCGUUAUCCGGAAUUACUGGGUGUAAAGGGAGCGUAGACGGAUGUGCAAGUCUGAUGUGAAAGGCGGGGGCCCAACCCCUGGACUGCAUUGGAAACUGUAAAUCUUGAGUGCCGGAGAGGUAAGCGGAAUUCCUAGUGUAGCGGUGAAAUGCGUAGAUAUUAGGAGGAACACCAGUGGCGAAGGCGGCUUACUGGACGGUAACUGACGUUGAGGCUCGAAAGCGUGGGGAGCAAACAGGAUUAGAUACCCCAGUAG